rnacentral:rRNA from 1 species
GUGCAGCAGGCGAGAAAACUUCACACUGUGCGAAAGCACGAUGAGGGAAUCCCAAGUGCUUGCACGUAAGUGUAAGCUGUUUCUCUGUUUAAAACGCAGAGAGAGUAAGGGCUGGGUAAGACGGGUGCCAGCCGCCGCGGUAAUACCUGCAGCUCAAGUGGUGACCGUUAUUAUUGGGCCUAAAACGUCCGUAGCCGGUUUAAUAAAUGCCUGGGUAAAUCGUGUAGCUUAACUGUACGAAUUCCGGGUAGACUGUUAAACUCGAGACCGGGAGAAGUUAGAGGUACUCCUGGGGUAGAGGUGAAAUUCUGUAAUCCUAGGGGGACCACCAGUGGUGAAGGCGUCUAACUAGAACGGGUCUGACGGUGAGGGACGAAGCCCUGGGGCGCAAACGGGAUUAGAUACCCCUGUAGU